rnacentral:rRNA from 1 species
AGAGUUUGAUCCUGGCUCAGGAUGAACGCUAGCGGCAGGCCUAACACAUGCAAGUCGAGGGAGAAGCCCUUUCGGGGACAGAAACCGGCGCACGGGUGCGUAACGCGUAUGCAACCUACCUUUCACAGGGGGAUAGCCCGAAGAAAUUUGGAUUAAUACCCCAUAAUAUUAUUGAAUGGCAUCAUUUGAUAAUUAAAACUGAGGUGGUGAAAGAUGGGCAUGCGUCCUAUUAGCUAGUUGGAGUGGUAACGGCACCCCAAGGCUACGAUAGGUAGGGGUCCUGAGAGGGAGAUCCCCCACACUGGUACUGAGACAGGGACCAGACUCCUACGGGAGGCAGCAGUGAGGAAUAUUGGUCAAUGGUCGGAAGACUGAACCAGCCAUGCCGCGUGCAGGAAGAAUGCCUUAUGGGUUGUAAACUGCUUUUAUAUGGGAAGAAUAAGGCGUACGUGUACGUUGAUGACGGUACCAUAUGAAUAAGCAUCGGCUAACUCCGUGCCAGCAGCCGCGGUAAUACGGAGGAUGCGAGCGUUAUUCGGAAUCAUUGGGUUUAAAGGGUCUGUAGGCGGGCUAUUAAGUCAGGGGUGAAAGGUUUCAGCUUAACUGAGAAAUUGCCUUUGAUACUGGUAGUCUUGAAUAUCUGUGAAGUUCUUGGAAUGUGUAGUGUAGCGGUGAAAUGCUUAGAUAUUACACAGAACACCGAUUGCGAAGGCAGGGGACUAACAGACAAUUGACGCUGAGAGACGAAAGCGUGGGGAGCGAACAGGAUUAGAUACCCUGGUAGUCCACGCU